rnacentral:lncRNA from 1 species
CUUGUAAUACGACUAUGUUUCAAUUCAUGGGCUAGAUGAUAAAACAAUGCCAUUUUUCUUUUUAAGAGACUCCUAUUCCCUUCAUCUUUUGAUCUCUCUAGGGUCACUACUGUGAUAAAUUCAAGAAUACUGAGUGUGCUUCAUCCAAAAGGGCCAUAGCUACUGUUGUGAGGAAGUCUAAGGGUCCACUGAAGCAGCCCCUUUGCUGCUCUUGCUGCUGUUCCCACUGUUGGGUCCUCAGGGUGCCAGAUCUUUUGCCUGAAAAUAUAGCAGCUAUGCUUGUCCAACGUCUGCUGUUUCAUCUUGCUAAGGGUAAGGAAUCAGAAUACGAUUUGAUGUCCACUCCUUUUAAGGCAGGCCCUUUAUGGUUUUGCUGCAUGGGCAUAAUUUUAACCUUUUCAAAAGUAGUAGUGCUUGUUUCAGGGGAGAGGUGAAGUGCAUUAAAGACAAUAGCCUCUCUCAGAGUCUGAACUGAUCUACGGUGUGGGUCAGACAGUUUUCUAAUUGGUUUGGAUUUUCAGUCCAUUAAAGGAAAGCUCUGAUUACAUUUUACAGCAGGUCACUAGGCAAAAAUCUGCUUCAUCUGCACAACGACUGUGGUUCCGUUUCAUUUGACUGUGUCAUUGAAAGACACUAACUCUGUGCUAGGGAGCAGAAGCACCCCGUGGAGGGCCUCAUUCUCCCAACACAUCAAAGCACUUUAUGCACCACAGAACCCUGAGGGAGGACACUCAGGUGCCCUGGAUGAUGUUCACUUAUUCAUUUCAUUACAUCCAACAUCGGCCUUGGAUCUCGCAAAUAAUAGGGUGGGCUCUGCAUUAAGAAAGGAGCAGUUACAGACCCUAGAUCCAAAGUGAUGUGAAUCUCCCAGAAAUCUCUGGCCCAUGCGGGGAAAGCCCAGACCUUUCAUCUUUAGCAGCUAGCUGAGGAAUAAGAAGAGAAAUCAAGAUCCAGGAGCAUGGCAGUGCCCAUUAGAAGCAAAGCAUGUUCGCUUGUGCUUGUGAUUUGUUAUCUAAAAUAGUCUGAGAAUGACCCAAAAAUGUGGGGGAGGGGAGAAAAUAACUACGAUUUUUAAAGCUAUUUACCUCUGAGGCUGGGGUUUUAGGAUGGCACUCUGAAAUGUUUAUUGUAUGCGUCAGUGUCGCUAAAAAUAUUUCUAUUAAAAUCACUUCCACCUUGGAAAGAUGUCAUCCUCACGUAAAGGAGACAUUCUUUGGCUUUAAGUCUUUGUGAAAAGGGAUUUAUCUAAGAGAAGGCCCAUCCAAGAAGGCAUUUGUUUUUAAGAUGCCAAUCAGUGUUUUAAUUUCAAAGCAAAAAU